ACAGCACAGGAUUUCAUCUCACCACUCAGAAUGGCGUACAGUCUUUAAAGCAUUGUGUAUUUCUGGAAUUUUCUAUUUAAUAUUUUCUGACCUGUAGUUGACCAUUGGUAACUGAAACCAUGGAUACCGGGGGCACCACCAUAAUCUGAAAUUUUGCUUUAUUUUAUUACAAAAGAAGAUGUUUGACUUCGAACAUUUUAUUAAGAUUUUUCUGCUGUUAUUUUACAUUUGCAGUUUUUUGAGCCAAAUCUCUGUGAUAAAGUCAGAUGGGUGGGUAAUUUCAGAAGAGUAGAAAGAAGCAAGCUGUGAACCUGAAAGAACACCAGUCUGGGCAUCAGGAAAUACAGAUUGUAGUUCUGCCAUGUCCAAUAGGGUAGCCACUGGCCAUCUGUAGCUAUUUAUGUUUUUGGUUUGUUUGUUUUGUUUUUGCUUUUUGCUUUUUAGGGCUGCAUCUGCAGUAUAUGGAAGUUCCCAGGCUCAGGGUUGAGUCAGAGCUGCAGCUGCCAGCCACAGCCACAGCCACAGCCACGCGGGAUCUGAGCCGUGUCUUCGACCUACACCACAGCUCACAGCAACGCCAGAUCCCCGAACCACCCAGUGAGGCCAGGGAUCAAGCCCACAUCCUCAUGGAUCCUAGUCAGAUUUGUUUCCACUGCGCCACAAAAGGAACUCCCUGUGGCUAUUUACUUUUAAAUUAUUAAAGAGAAAAUAAAAAUUUCAAAUCCAGUUCCUCAGUCACACCAUGCAUAUCUCACAUGUUCAGUAACCAGAUGUACUCAGGGUUUCUUAAACUCCGCACUGUUGGCUUUUGGGGGCAGAUAAUUCUUGGUUGUGGUGGACUGUCCUGUGCAUUAUAAGAUUUUUAGUAGCAUCUCUGGUCUCUACCACUGGAUAUUACUUGUUGGUUGUGCAACCAAAAAUGACUCCAGACAUUGCCAAAUGUCUCCUCAGGACCAGUUGAGAACCAGUGCCUAAACUGCUUUGGGUUUUCAUUUCGUCCUCAACUAAAGGCUUUGGAUAUUGCUAAGUGGACCCUCCCAUUCAGCUCUAACAUUCUGAAUGUAUGUCCACCUCACUGCUUCUCCCAUCAAGCACCACUUUUUUGAGUGCUCCUAUUCUCACUGCUGCACUUCCUCUGGCUCUUGCCAAUGCCAGUAAGUUGUAAUGAUGAGUAUUGCUGCAUUGAGUAGGAGACCCAGACAGGUGUACAGAUGUGGCUCCAUGUCCAUCGUCUUAUUGGCUGAAGCUACACUGACACCUGGUUUCAUCCAUCAUGCGCUCUGCUUCUCAGGAAGGUCCGGUUUUAUCAUGGCUUUGUUUCCAAAAGUGGGGUCCAGCUGCUUGCUGUUCUAAGGCUGAUAAAGAGGCAAGGUUGGUGAACAGGAGGGUUGGGGAUGAUGGGUGUGCCUCCUGUCCAAAGAUCGACACCCUCCUACUGACAACCAGUGGGCAAGACCUUGCAAAGGGGAGUUUCAGGGCGUAUAGGUGGAGAGAGGGGGUUAUGUGUAGAAAUAACACAGUCAGCUCUGACAGCCAUCUUGAAAUUAGUCAUAUGCUGGUCUUACUAGCUCCAUCUUGAUUGUUUUAGGUGCAGUUAACCUUCAGUUCCAGGAUGGAUUUGUUGCCACUUCCUCUCAGAAUUGUGGCAGCUUAUGUCAAGCUACAGUCAUUAUGUAGUUACCUUCUUCUCCCUGGGGUGGGGGUUUCAGUAUCUACAAGACAGCUUACAGGAUACGACUCAGAAUAUUAUCUACAGCCCUUGAGGAGGAAAAAAGGCCCCUGACUUUGUUUAAUGACUAAACUAUUAUUAUUUGAUCUUGACUUUUUUCUUGCUUCUGCAUUUUUUCACUUCUCUGAUUAAACUUAUUCUUUGGCUAAAGUUUUUCUAUAGACACAAAGACAUGCUGGGGGAAGGACCAUGGGUCCUGCUCCAUUUCAGCCUGAGUCCUUAAAUAGAGCUGUUAUCUGCUUUAUUGUUGCCUCUAGCACAAUCUGUGUAAUUGCUCCCACUCUGCAGGCUGUUUUGGAAAGGAUGUGUCUUUAAGGGGGUUGGUUGUGUAUCUGACAUUGCCCCUGGCUUGUCAAAUUCAGGGAGACCCCCCCGCCCCGCUCCAGGGCCUUAACUGGGCUAUGAACUCCUUACGAGCAGAGACCCUGUCUUAUUUAUCUUCAGCACUUAGCACAGUGCCUGGCAGCAUUUGACAGUCCGAGUCCACAGGAAUAAAUGACCAUACAUUUUUGGUGGGGAAAUAUCAUCGCAGUCUAAGGACUUUGCUACUCAAAAGUGUAGCCCACAUGAUGGUUGUUCAACUGUAAAUAUAGUAAAGUUCAUUGAAUUAAAACAAAAAGUGUAGCCCACACACCAGAGGCAUCAGGAUUGCCUGGGAGCUUGUUAGAAAGUUUCCAGCCUCACCCCAAACCUGUGGAUCAGAAUCUGCAUUUUAACACCAUCCCUGGUGAUCUGUGGGCACAUGAGAGCUGGAGAAGCACUGGCCUAGAAGACAUUGCACUCAGGUUCCAGCCUUCUUCAGCCAGAUUUGGAAUGAGAAGCACCCUGCUGGCUAAGUUCCUCAGAGUGUAUGUUUCACAAACUGCUCAGGGACAGAUAGGAACUUACUUAUGCAUCACCUGAGAGCUUCCUGGUAUUUCUGCUUUUAAGGAUGCUGAUCCUGUUGCAGCAGGGCCACACCUUUAUGAUGUAUUUAACCUUAAUUGCUUCUUUAUAGGACCUGUCUGCAAAUCCUGCCACCAGGGCUGCAUGAAUUAGAAGGCUGGGGGUGGGGGGACAAGUCAGUCCUUAACAUUGCUCAUUUUUUAAAAGUGAUCAUGUGUAAAGCACAGUCUGCCUGACUUGGGGGGAGAAGAAUUUGGUCAUUGUACACCCCUCAUUGCAUUUAUCUUGCACAGUGCUGUUAGUUAGGUCAUGUUAUCCCAUUUCACACUUGAGGAAACAGAGGUUAAGUUACUUAACAGAAGUUAAGUAAUCUUCCCAAGGUUUCACAACUAGAACCUGGAUGGAAAACCAGGUUCAUCUGUCUCAAAAGGCUUUCACUACAAUGAAUGGUUUUCCCUAUCAAAAAGGGGACAUGCACUUAACAAAAGAAAUUUCAGGGAGUUCCCCAGUGGGCUAGCAGUUAAGGAUCUGGCAUUGUCACUGCUAUGCCUCGGAUUUAAUCCCUGACCUGGGAACCUCUGCAUGCCAUAAGCACAGCCAAAAGAAAAAAAAAAAAA
ensembl:lncRNA